GAACGGUUGGCUCAGUUGGAAGAGCACUCGCACCGAACGCGAGAGUACGUGGGUUCGAGUCCCGUAUCGUUCA